AGGAUUAGCAUGGCCCCUGCACAAGGAUUACACGCAAAUUCGUGAAGCAUUCCAUAUUUUU
rnacentral:snRNA from 1 species